UGUCUUGCUGGACCUGGACGUCCUGCUGGUGUUGGAGCAGGACUUCCUGCUGCAGCUGCUGUUGGAGCUGGACGUCCUGCUGGAGUUGCUGUUGGUGCUGGACGUCCUGCUGGAGGAGCUGGAACUGGAGCUGGCCUCGUCAAGACUCAGGCCGCUGCUGAGGUGACACUUUGAGCAGAGAAGUAAGAAGAAGACGACCCGCUCCUCAUCUUUUUUGAUGGUCGCCUCUCCUCAACGGGCUCGAGAUGGUUGAACGCCUCGUUGGGGCAGGAUUUUGUUUGCGCACCAUGAUGGAAAUUUUGCGCAAUAACGCAAUCGCUGUCAGAAAAACAAUCUCUCUUUCUCUUCUGUCCCAUGAUCUCAAAAGCGGUUUGAUAAAACAUUAACGCUGUUGAAUUCGUGUAACGCAGACAGAAAAAUCAAGCCAAAUGACAAAUCUGUACAGAGAAGCUGUUUAAGAAUGCAAGACAUUCUAAAUGUUCUAUUCUAAUUAUGACGCAACAGCAGAGGUUUGUGUUAUUUGAAACGCAGUGGGAGAAAUUAUGAUACAGAAAAAGAAUUAUGUAAUUCCGGCCAAAUAGACCUGUAUAAAUAUACACAUGCUCAUAUUUUUAAUAAAAUAUGUUUAAAUAUACUUAGAUUUAAUAAGAUGUCACAAAAAUAAAUACUAUAAAUACAUUUA